CGCAAGGCCUCAUGGGGCGUAGGAAACUUGUGGAUAGAAUAAUAGAAUUGCGUAUAUGUGACGUCAAUGCAUGAUUACAUAACCUAACUAGGGAAAUGGUUAGUCCUUUCAACUUAGUGUGACAGUAUGAAUGAGGUAAGGGUGGUGAUUGACGCUCAUGAACACCAAUCAGCAGCGAGUGGGCACUAUUUCAGGGCUGGUUGGUUUCAGCCUGGGAUGCAUCACGUCCGGAUUCUCCCCUUUUUCUGUUUGUUUCAGCGGUUUCAGCCUGUCUUUUCAUCAGUUUGUGUGUUUCUCCGUCGGAUGCUGUUUUGGAUGUGAUUACUGCCCUCCUUUCAGGUAUGAGGAAGUUUUAUUGUAAACAAUGUCUCGUUUCACUGAGGGGCGGGUGGUUUGAGUAAUGUGCAGUCCACAUGUGCAGGCAUGUGAUGCGCAAUUAAUAAUAAUCCUGUUUGUGUUUGCAUUAUUCAUAUUUGUUAUAGGAUUCUCCCUUUCGUCCUGGGUGAUUAUUAUUGCAGCUCAGUUCUUCCUCCACUGCGCGUCAUACAAACAAUAUCGGAUUACAACUAUUUAAAGGGAUUUCUGCUGCUGCCGUUUGCUGUCUGUGAUUUGUUCUAAUUUACACUUCCUAGUUUACUUUGGGGGUGGAGGGACGUGUAUUUAUUGGGACUGGCCUAAGGGCGACGUGGCCGCUCCAUUUGAGUCCUGUUUCCCUCAAACUUUUAACAAAGUUUUUCUUUUUUUUUCUUUCUUUUUUUUUUUCCCUCUUUUGCAGAUUUGUAGAUUGUGAACUGUACUGUGCCAUGCUGUGGUGACUGUUGCCCAUCGUUUACGGUGGAAUUGUGACUUUGUCUUUCAUUCAUUUGUUUUAUGAGAUUUAUUUAUUUUGUGUUUGAUUCAGUGGCGAGGCUACAGAAGGGCCAGGGCGGCACUGGCCCACCCAGAUUGAUGGCUGGCCCACCCAAUCAAAGGUGCCAGAAUAUUUCAUUUUAUUUCCAGACACUACUUUGGUCUGGAAAUAGUCAUAUCUGUUGCGAAGGCCUAUAUAUGAUUUGAAAAAUGUAUUAUUAAAAGUACAUAUAACAUGAUAUGUUUUUAUAUCGCGCCGGUAAACUCAGCUUUCCAGAGUCGCGGCAGCAGCUGUUUCUAUGCAGCGUGCGUCACCGUCCAUGAGUCGCGCUUA